UGCCAAGCUAUAAGUAUGAAUUUAAAAACCUUUGCAACAUGAUAAGGAAAAAUAGUAUUAACAUACUAGUGUCCACAGCAGAUAAGAUGUCUUGGGCGGGUAGCUUGCUUCCUUUUUGGGUCUCUUGUGGAAACCCUUAUUUUGCACUAAGCAGUACGUGUAACAGAUGGUUGUGUCGUGGUAAAAAGUUUCUUUUAAAUAUAUAAAUAAAACUAUUGCAAAUGGCAAACUUAGAAAAGGACCAUUCAUACUCAGGACACCUGCAGCAGCCAACGGCCAUCACUGAGGAGUAUGCAGUUCCAGAAGUUGUCAUCACACGCCGUUUGAGAGACCGAGAGCUUCUCAGGAAAAGAAAAGCAGAAACAGAGGAAAAAGACACUCACCAGUGGGUUCUGGGGUAAAUUAGGAUGGUGUUAAAAUGACCUUUGAUUUUACAGACAAAGCAGUUUUACACAUUCCUUAUGGGCAUGCAUGGUAUAAAAAUUGCUCUUUUAAAUUUAAUGAGUGAUACUGCAGUGUACUUUCUACAAGAUCUGAAAGUUACAGGCAGAGAUAUAUUAAAAUGGACAGGUACAGUUAUUCCUCAGAUUUCUGUUCAGAGGUUGGAAAGAUUUGCCCAGAAGCAAUUGGACUAAACCUGCCUGCGGAAGGGUAUUGCUUUGUGGAUCCCACCUACCUACCCUGCCCCAUGUACUGUCUUUCAUGGACCUGAUUUUGUAAACCAUUGAACAAUUGGGUGCAUGAAGAAGAGUCUGCUGAUGGGGUGGCACCCUUUCCCCCCUAAAUAAGGUCCAGCACCUUCAAUAACUCCUGUAAAAUGCAGAUAAAAUCCAGAGUAGAUCACGGUGUGUGUCUGGAAAUGAAAUCACCAGCCACUGCUGCCUUGAGUAAUUAGCACUGGAUUCCUAUUUCUUAUCUUUCUCUCAUGUUUUGUUACCUGUCUGUGCUUUCCUUUGUAUUUAGUGUCCUUCUGCCACACAGGCUGAAAUCCAGCUAGCACAACUAUACUUCGUAUAUGGUCAUUAUGUCAUCACCCAAAGCCACUAAUCUUUAAUUUAAUUUAACACAUGUUAUUCCGCACAUUCCCUCAGGUUUCAAGGCACCUAAAGGACCCCUUUUGCCCCUGGCGAAGCCUUUGGGACCCUCAGGAGAGAGAGGAUAAGCCUUUAAAAGUGGAUUGCCCCUGGGAGUCUUGAUCUGGUGACAGGACAGCCAGCAGCAAUUUCUUUCAAUCCUAAGGCUUCCA
rnacentral:lncRNA from 1 species